AAACAACCCAAAGAACAGAGCAAAUUUCUCCAAGAUUUUUCUCGCUCCACAGACCAUCGAUCGACCCCAGACCACGUCCCACGCCUUCGCCUCCUCCUUUCGCAGCUGCCGGUAACAGCCUUUCGCCGUCUCGUGGGCCGUACACGGCGGUGGAGCACAAGGCCGGUUUACCCCCGUUUUGAUUUCAAGCUUGAUAUCUCAAGCUACCAGUCACCACUCCUCACCAAACUCCAUCCACAAGCUCGCCUCAACGUCCUGAAGCUCCCAGAAGUGGCCUUGCACGGCGGCGCUACUCGUGGUGGCGGCUGGAAGCCAGACCCGAUCAAAUCGAAAACCGAAGCUUCGAGCAAUAUAUCUCGCGCUACAGGACGUUGUUUUGAGUGUUUCUUGAACUGGUGAACUCAGAGUGAGGAUCUGAACAACUUUCCAGAAGGUAUCGAGGCCUGAAGUUGCAGUUUUUACGUCGAACUAGGAGCUCGCCGGUUUCUGGGUUUUUCCGGCCAACCGACUGGUUUGAGGUGAUCGACGGUUUGAUUUGGCGGACGAUUCGUGAAAGUGUAUUUUGAGCUGUUAAGAAGACGCAGCGGGAAUUUAGAGCGGGAAAUCCUACAGGUCAGGAGAACCAGGACGGUGAUCGGGCUGCUUAGAGUAGUGUUAUGUGAAUUACAGCAUUAUAUUGUGAGGUUUGUUAUGCUCAUUUAGAGCUUUGCAAUUUUACUUUGUAAGAGUGAAUUGUAAUAAUUAACUCGAGGGUUUCGAGUUUUUGUGUUGA